rnacentral:tRNA from 1 species
GUGUUGUAAUUUGUUGGCUAGCCUCGGACUCUUAAUCCGAAGGUCGUAGGUUCGACCCCUGCACGGCCCACCA